UCACAACCUUUCCCUAGAAGCAAAAGCAGAAACAACAUUAAUUUGACCACCCCCUCUUACUCCUCAGAUGUUUACAAUGCAUAUUGUGAAUGAUGUAGUCCAGUGGAGAAGUAUAAGAAUUAAAUGCAACCAUUAUUGUAGCGGCAACAUAUAACAUGGGUGUUGAUGGAAUUCAUAUAUUCUUCUCUUUACUCUCUCGGGCUCUCAUCUGAAGUGUGCAGCUUCUCAUUUUCUCGGAAGAAUACAACAUCAAGGUGACUAUUCUUGAAAAUGUAUACUGGAAGGAAUUUGGACUUCUUGUAUUUGUUUGGGUUUCAUUCCUUGUACUACAGAUUGCCAAGGAAACCUACACGAGUACUUGUUCAAUGUUAUAUUGGGUACUGAACUUGUUACAGAUCUGAGUGUCUGUUACAAUAAUAUCUGGAAAGCGUUUCAACUUUGAAGCAUGUUUUCUAUAUAUGUAUCAUGCAAGUUCCAAUCUCAAUUGGGGAAACUGCAUAUGAGAUAUUUAUAGAUCGAUCACCAUUGUUGCUAGAAGAUAUAAAC